rnacentral:lncRNA from 1 species
CUGCUGAUGAUCAGGAGUAGUUAGGAGGUUCCCAGGCAGGAGGCCUCGCCUCGUUCGAUCGUUGUAUCUUUUGUUCUAGCCUUCUCUAAGGUACCCCAUGUUGUUUUAUGUCUGUACUCAGAUAUCUGUUGCUUCCGCUGACUCGUGUGUUUAUCGAGCUUUCGUAUUCUAUCCCUCGAGGCCCCUGGCUUGUAAUAUGAAGCUGAUGUUAUUUUAUUUGUGUCUAAA